GUCAGGAUGGCCGAGUGGUCUAAGGCGCCAGACUCAAGGUGAGAAGCCUUCCUGGUUGUGCGGGAGUUCUGGUCUCCGAUUGGAGGCGAGGGUUCAAAUCCCUCUUCUGACA
rfam:Salmo salar isolate Sally breed double haploid chromosome ssa20, whole genome shotgun sequence.